GACGAACGCUGGCGGCGUGCUUAACACAUGCAAGUCGAACGGAAAGGCCCUGCUUUUGUGGGGUGCUCGAGUCGCGAACGGGUGAGUAACACGUGAGUAACCUGCCCUUGACUUUGGGAUAACUUCAGGAAACUGGGGCUAAUACCGGAUAGGAGCUCCUGCUGCAUGGUGGGGGUUGGAAAGUUUCGGCGGUUGGGGAUGGACUCGCGGCUUAUCAGCUUGUUGGUGGGGUAGUGGCUUACCAAGGCUUUGACGGGUAGCCGGCCUGAGAGGGUGACCGGCCACCUUGGGACUGAGAUACGGACCAGAAGCCUACGGGAGGCAGCAGUGGGGAGUAUUGCACAAUGGGCGGAAGCCUGAUGCAGCAACGCUGCGUGCGGGAUGACGGCCUUCGGGUUGUAAACCGCUUUCGCCUGUGACGAAGCGUGAGUGACGGUAAUGGGUAAAGAAGCACCGGCUAACUACGUG
rnacentral:rRNA from 1 species